AUGGCUGUGAGCACGCCGAAGGAAUUCUAUGGCGGCAAAUUCUGCAGCGCCGAGCUGGACGACAAAGGGAAGCAGCAGCACAAGGUGACCGGAUCGCUCGAGGUCGGGGCACACACCGCCCCGCACAUAUGGCUCGGCGACCUGGACCAGGCGAACCAGGAGAUGGGCGACCUCAGCACGGCGGCGCGCGACCCCGUCUUCUACUCCAACCACUCCAACGUGGACCGCAUGUGGCACGUCUGGAGCACCAAGCUCGGCGGCCCCUUCCUCCCCUACCAGGAGUGGCUCGACACCAGCUUCGUCUUCUACGACGCCGACAAGCGGCCCGUGCGCACCAAGGUCAGCAACGUCCUCGACACCCGCAAGCUCGGCUACACCUACGAGGAGCACGGCGAGCUGCCGUGGCUGGGGAAACGGCCCAAGCCGGCCACCGGCAUCGACCGCCGCCCCGGCAAGAGGAGCGCUAACAAGGUCACCAGCUCGUCGUACACCACCGUGACGCUGAGGAACGACGAGAACGUGUACAUGACGGUGGCGAGGCCGGAGGAGGCCCGGGCCGGCCGCGGCAGCAGCAAGAAGGCGCCGGAGGCGCUGGUGGUGGACAUCACGCUGGACCCCUGCGAGUACGUCAAGUUCGACGUGCUGGUCAACGUCCCCAAGGGCCAGGAGUACAAGGUGGGCCCGCGGAACGCCGAGUUCGCCGGAAGCUUCACGCAUGUGCCGCACGGGAGAAGCUUCGGCGGCGGCAUGGCGAUGAUCCAGGUGUCGUACCAGUUCGCGCUGCGGGAGCUGCUGAGGACCUCAAGUCCGGCGAGAGAACGGCCAGCUGGACAUCACCAUCGUCCCCGUCAACGCCGAUGA
rnacentral:rRNA from 1 species